AAGAAGACUCCUGGACACUUUACAAUGGGACCUGGAUGCCGGGCCUGAACAAGCUGGCUGUCCCCAGAGCUCAUGACAUUUGAUCUUCAACCCAAGGACAGCCCAUGCUUCCUGUGGUUGCUGUCUUUUGGUUUGUCGGUGCCUCUGUCCCCUGUUGGGCUCCUUGGAGGGAGCUUGCUUGCAAGCAGACGGAUGGAAGCCCACCUGACCUGUCUAGCUGUGGCCACUUCCUCCUUCCCAGCUCAGCCUUUGCUGUGAGAGCUCGGAGUGAAUGCCUUUGAGACCAAACAACAGGAAACCACGAAGCAGGGCUGACCUGGCCCAGGUCUACUGCACUGCAUGGCAGCCUGGGGUCUCCAGCUGCUGCUGAAGCUUCCCCCAAGAACACUUUAGAUUUGCAGUGAGCAAAGGAGCUGUUCUUAGGGUACAUUGGAGGUGUGAGGCCAGGAACAGGAGCACACCAGGAUGAAGGAGCACACCAGGAUGAAGGAGCACACCAGGAUGAAGGAGCACACCAGGAUGAAGGAGCACACCAGGAUGAAGGAGCACACCAGGAUGAAGGAGCACACCAGGAUGAAGGAGCACACCAGGAUGAAGGAGCACAGGCCCUACUUGUCAAGCCUGCUGACUUGGGCUGCUCAGGCUUCUGGUCUUUCAGCCCGGACAGGGGGUAACUGUUCUCUGGGGAUGGAGCUGUGAACGAGGCAAGAACUCAGUUCACAACAGAGCCAACAGAACUCAGAGAGGCACGAGGCACCAGCCCAAGUACUGCCUAAGAAAGAGGGAUGGGGACCCAGGUGGUGCCGAGCUGCGGUGGUCCUUCGGGUGCUAUAAACGCUCAGAUCACCCCGUCUCCUGUAACUCCACGUCUGUGCUCCCAAGAGGAAGAGCAUCAAGCUCAGUGCUCCGUGAGGCUGGAUGUGGAUGGAUUCUGUCUGGUCCUCUCCGGCCUGGGGGGACAUCAGAGCACAGGCUGGUGAGCCGGCCCUGUGGGUGAAGACAGUUCACCUACCCGAUGGCCUGAACUGACUUCCACAGGUGUCCUCCGAUCUGACUGCUACCCCUGUGCUCUGUCUGCAUCCUCUCCUGGUAACUAAAACUAUCAUUAAAACCCUUUUAAAAGCUGUCA
rnacentral:lncRNA from 1 species